rnacentral:rRNA from 1 species
UUCCUUUAGAAAUACUUGUAAGGUAGAACCUGCCCACUGAUUAAAUUGAAGGGCCGCGGUAUCUUGACCGUGCAAAGGUAGCAUAAUCAUUAGCCUCUUAAUUAGAGGAUUGUAUGAAUGGUUUAAUUGAGGAGGGUUGUAUUUUUUUUAUUAAAAUGAAAUUUGAGGGUAAGUGAAAAUACUUGCAGGAUCCUAUAAGACGAUAAGACCCUAUAGAUCUUUAUUACGUUUGUUUUACUUUAAUUUAGGGGGUUUAAGGUAAUAUAGAUGUAGUUUAGCUGGGGCAGCUAAAGAAUAAGUGUAACUUCUUUAUUGGUUGAUUUAUUGAAAUUUCUUGAGCUUGUUUUGUAAAUAAGGAGUAAGUUACCUUAGGGAUAACAGCGUAAUUGAUCCGGAGAGUCCUUAUCGAUGGAUUGGAUUGCGACCUCGAUGUUGAAUUAAGAAGUCUAUUUAGGGCAGCUUUUAAAUAAGAUGGUUUGUUCAACCAUUAAAUUCUUACA